rnacentral:rRNA from 1 species
UACGUACGGUGCGAGCGUUGUCCGGAAUUAUUGGGCGUAAAGGGCUCGUAGGCGGUUUGUCGCGUCGGGAGUGAAAACUCAGGGCUUAACCCUGAGCCUGCUUCCGAUACGGGCAGACUAGAGUACUGCAGGGGAGACUGGAAUUCCUGGUGUAGCGGUGAAAUGCGCAGAUAUCAGGAGGAACACCGGUGGCGAAGGCGGGUCUCUGGGCAGUAACUGACGCUGAGGAGCGAAAGCGUGGGGAGCGAACAGG